CGUGUAGGCGGUUGGUCAAGUCUGGUGUGAAAGCCCGGGGCUUAGCCCCGGAAGUGCGCUGGAAACUAGCCAACUUGAGCGCGAUAGAGGAGGGUGGAAUUCCUGGUGUAGCGGUGAAAUGCGUAGAUAUCAGGAGGAACACCGGCGGCGAAGGCGGCCCUCUGGGUCGUUGCUGACGCUAAGACGCGAAAGCGUGGGGAGCAAACAGGAUUAGAUACCCUGGUAGUCCACGCUGUAAACUAUGGGUACUAGGUGUUCGGGGUGUUGACCCCCUGAGUGCCGACGCUAACGCAUUAAGUACCCCGCCUGGGGACUACGGCCGCAAGGCUAAA
rnacentral:rRNA from 1 species